rnacentral:rRNA from 1 species
UAGGGAAUAUUGCACAAUGGGCGAAAGCCUGAUCCAGCCAUGCCGCGUGAGUGACGAAGGCCUUAGGGUUGUAAAACUCUUUCGUCGGGGACGAUAAUGACGGUACCCGAAGAAGAAGCUCCGGCUAACUUCGUGCCAGCAGCCGCGGUAAUGCGAAGGGAGCUAGCGUUGUUCGGAAUCACUGGGCGUAAAGCGCACGUAGGCGGAUAGUUAAGUCAGGGGUGAAAUCCUGGGGCUCAACCCCAGAACUGCCUUUGAUACUGGCUGUCUCGAGGUCGAGAGAGGUUGGUGGAAUUCCUAGUGUAGAGGUGAGAUUCGUAGAUAUUAGGAAGAACACCAGUGGCGAAGGCGGCCAACUGGCUCGGAUACUGACGCUGAGGUGCGAAAGCGUGGGGAGCAAACAGGAUUAGAUACCCAUGUAGUCCCUGAGCGGGC